UGUGUACUGAUCGUGCGCCGGUAUAUAUAUGUACGAAGUUAUAAGAUUUUUUCCCCAAUAAGCCCUGAAUUCCACUCACUGUCAGAACCACGUUAAGUUGCUGUUCACGAGGCAUAAGAGGCGAAUAUCGAUCUUGUUAACUAUAUAGCCGUCGUAUCGUCUCGUGUCAUCUGCCGGACCGGGAGGAGAAACGGAACACAUCGGGAUUCCCCUCAUCCUCCAUUCCUCAUACUGCAUCCCACCGACACAAGGUUGCCACUUCUCUCGUUAUUGAGGAUUAUAUCAACCAAAGGUAUGACAUGUGACAGACUGAACUGAUGUUCUAUAUUGGUUGUCAUGGAUUCAUCAUACCCCCGAGAACGCCAUGAAUCCGUGGGGAAGAGGUACCAGAGUCUGACCAACGAUAGCAGCAGCAUGGCAGACUACCUGAUCACCGGAGGAACGGGCUACGUCCCAGACGACGGACUCACGGGGGCCCAGCUCUUCGCGAACGGUGAUGGACUCACGUACAAUGACUUUCUCAUAUUGCCUGGAUUCAUUGAUUUUUCAGCGGAUGGAGUGGACCUGACCUCCGCCCUGACCAGGAAGAUCACCCUGAAGUCUCCGCUGGUCUCCUCCCCUAUGGAUACAGUCACAGAGUCACAGAUGGCCAUCGGAAUGGCGCUGUGUGGUGGAGUAGGUGUGAUCCAUCAUAACUGUACAGCAGAGUUCCAGGCCAACGAAGUCAGGAAGGUCAAGAAAUAUGAACAAGGAUUUAUCCUUGACCCAGUUGUCAUGUCCCCCACCCACACAGUCAAAGAUGUCGCCCAGGCCAAGAAAAAGUUCGGGUUUUCUGGAAUUCCAAUCACAAAUAAUGGUCACAUGGGAGAGAAAUUGGUUGGGCUUGUCACCCAAAGAGACAUUGAUUUCCUUACAGAUGAUGAGAUGGAUACACCUAUUUCAGAGGUGAUGACAAAGUAUGAAAACUUAGUCGUGGCCCACAAUGGGGUAACACUAAAAGAGGCCAACUCCAUUCUACAGAAAAGCAAGAAAGGGAAACUCCCCAUUGUAAAUGAUGAUGGGGAACUAGUGGCACUAAUUGCCCGAACAGACACAAAAAAGAACAGAGAGUUUCCUCUGGCCUCCAAAGAUGAAAAGAAACAGUUGUUGGUGGGGGCAGCGGUCAGUACACAUGACGAGGACAAGAAACGUCUGGAUCUCCUGGUGCAGGCCGGUGUAGACUUUGUUGUACUGGACUCCUCUCAAGGGAACUCAAUUUAUCAAAUCAACAUGAUCAAAUACCUAAAGAAGUCCUACCCUGCACUGCAAGUCAUAGGAGGCAAUGAUGGAAAGAGUACAUUCGUGACGGCAGCUCAGGCCAAGAACCUGAUAGAUGCGGGGGCGGACGCGCUUCGUGUGGGUAUGGGCAGUGGAUCAAUCUGUAUCACCCAGGAAGUGAUGGCAGUGGGGAGACCCCAGGGUACAGCUGUCUACAAGGUGGCAGAGUACGCCCGCAGAUUCGGGGUCCCAGUCAUAGCCGACGGAGGAAUCUCGUCUGUGGGUCAUGUGAUCAAAGCCUUGGCUCUCGGAGCAUCUACAGUUAUGAUGGGGUCCCUGCUAGCUGGGACAUCAGAGGCCCCAGGCGAGUACUUCUUUGCGGAUGGGGUCAGGCUGAAGAAGUACAGGGGCAUGGGCUCACUAGAUGCCAUGGAGAAACACCGCAGCAGUCAGAGUCGAUACUUUAGUGAGAGUGAUAAAAUAAAGGUGGCUCAAGGAGUCUCAGGGUCCAUUGUUGACAAAGGUUCCAUCCACAAGUUUGUGCCAUACCUCUACGCUGGAAUCCAACAUGGAUGCCAAGAUAUCGGGGCCCGCUGUCUCUCUAAUCUCAGAUCUAUGAUGUACUCAGGGGAGCUGAAGUUUGAGAGGCGGACAGCAUCAGCCCAGGUGGAGGGAGGGGUUCACAAUCUUCACAAAGAUAUUAGACGAAAGAUGGGUCAAGUUCCUGUUGGAUUGUCCUAGGCCAAACUGUAUGUGUUUCUGGAUCUCGUUAUCACACUGUAAUUAAAAGAAAUACUGAAAAUGCUACGAGAAAAGGUUGUAUUGAGAAUAUUGGGACAAAAUGACAAUGCCAUCCAUUGUGUUCUUUUUAUAAAAAGAUCUGACCAAAAUCAGCUAAAGGAAAUGGUUCUCGGACGUUCAAAGGGCUAAAAGUGCAUAAUACAUUUAUUUAGAAAAGAUAAAUUGUCAAUUGCAAAGUUAUGAAGGUGCAAUGUUUACAUAGUGUUAUAUAUAUGUAUAUACAGGGAAUUAUUUCCUCAGUGCUUCAGCAGGUUUUUUUGUUUAUAUACUAUAAAUAGCAUUCCUUUCACUUCUGAAUUCAUUAAGAAGCUUUAAAGGGGCAUGGUCAUGGUUUUGGUCAAAAAUUAUUUUUAAUGUUUACAAUGCUUUAGUAAGGUAUUUUUUAAUAUGCAACCAAAAUUUGAGUGCCAUUCAUUGAAUUAUAAGUGAGUUACAGAGCUUACAGUUCUUUGUUACGUACACUAAGCUUUUGUUUUCAUUUUGAAUGUUGAAGUAAAAAUUCCAGUUUAAGACCUAAAAUAAUGCGAUAAACGAUAGGAACUGUUUAUUUAUGCUUAAAAUGAAUAAAAUAAUAGACAAAUCAGCUUGAAAAAGAUUUUUUCUGGUAUAUUGAACCUAUGUAAACAAAAAAGGGGCACAAGCCUUGUUUACAAGACAAAGAAUUGUGAACCCUGUAUCUUGCUUAUAACUUUACUACUGAAUCUCAAAUUUCAAUUGAUCAUUUAAAAUGCAUUUCUAAAGCAUUAUGAAUAAUAAAAACAGAAAAAUUGAAUUUAACAAAAAUCGUGACCAUGCCCCUUUAGGGUGAUCCAAACAUAAUUUGUUUUUUUUGUACUGACAGUUUAUUUAAUGCAUCUAAUCUGUAGCUGUACAGUAAAACACGUUUAUUGCAAACAUGCUUAUAAUGAAUUGAUGCUUAUAGCAAAGUGAUAUUCAUUCCCCUUAACUUUAAAAAUAUAUUGAACACUUAACGGAUUUAUAGCAAAUAACGCUUGUAAUGAAGCAAAACUGUCCAUCCCUGGUACUUCUUUAUAAGCGUGUUUUACUGUAUAGAGUUGCUUGCCUCCAUAGUUUGUACUUAUUCAUUGUUUACUACAUGCAUCAACAUACAAAAAAUCAGGUUAAUUAUAAUGAUACAGUCAACAGUAAUUUCAAUUGACUCCUUUUUGUUAAAAGUGUUGUAUAAAGAGAGACAUAGUGUGGUUUUAUCAAUUUCCAUGGAGUUAACGUUUCAAGCAUUAUUUUAAUUGGUGGCCAGUGAUCCAGUCAAUACAAUAUGUUACUAGUCUAAGAAUUGUUAUUUCAAUUAACAUUUCAUUUCAUGUAAUAACUUAACUACCUAAUCUGGGAGAAGUAAUUUUUUCAGAUGUAAGAAGUGAUUUUUUUUUUCAGCAGUAACAUAUAGAAACAUAAACUAAUAUUCAGCAGUCAAUGGAGCACUUUCCUAUUAUCAAUUCUUGCCACAGGUUACAUUUUCCUGUAACAACAUCAAUUGUAGUGUUUUAAUAGAGAAAAUAAAAGAAUUUAGUGUAAUAUCAAAUGUUUAAAGUCAUUGUUACAUUUAGUAAAAUUUGCAAAAACAUUUUGCCUGAUUUUAUAUGUAUACACUUGGCUGUUUCUUUUUGUCUCAAAAUAAACCAUAUGGUGUAUUUAUUAGUUAUGUCAUACAUUAAGCGUAUGACAACAUUAGAAAGUUAUGAGAUAGGAUAUUUAUAUAUAUUUAUAGCACCAUAAUACAUAGAUUUUUUCCAUGUCUGAUAUAAUAGAAGAAUAAACAUACCAAUAGAUAGAGUCAGUUCUUUAUAAAUGCCUUUUGCCAUUUUGAGCACACCCAUGCUCUCUAUUGCUUUUAGCAAGAGUUACACUUAUUUUUUAAGUUGUGUUAAUAUUGUCAACAAUUUUGCUUCUUAUAUUUUUUUUGUAUGAAUACUCAGCCACUGUGGCUUUAUGAUUAUUUUUGUAGUUUUAUUAAUAUUAGUGUUUGAUAUUAUGUAUGAUAUCAAAUGUGUAAUAUAUGUUUCCGUCUCUGAUCUGAUCUAAAGUUUCUUGUUCUUCACCUCUGCCCUGUGAAGACAAUGGCGUACAGCUGUUAAGGUGGCUUGAUGGUCCUGGCCAUUAUUUAUCUCCAUCAGAAGAAGAGCUCUGUAUAUUGAUAUAGAAAAACAUUAAUUUUUUAAAAGCUCAAAUUCAGUAUAUGGAUUUUCCUUUACUAAAUAAUAGUUUAUUGCUUUAAAGAAGGAAAAUAAUCUUAAAUAUUGAGGUAUAUCUAAUGGAUAAACUUGUUGACCAUCUGGCUUCCUUAAAAUGUACAUGUCUAAGGGUAAACAAGGGUAAUGGUAAGAGACGUCUAGCUUCAGAUCUGGGUAAAUGUAUGGUGCAAGAAAAUACAAGUAAAUGAGUUGUCUGAGUAACUGAGAUGUGAUUACUUACCUAUAUUUGUUCAGAUGUAGCUAUAAGAAUGAGUGAACACUGUUGCAGAAGAUCAGUUUUACAUAGGUUAGUAGUCAGUUGUGUUAACCUUGUCUAUACCUUUGGCAUUAUCUAGUUGAUGUACAUGCACGUUUGAUUAUUUCUAUCUGGGAUUAUUUAAAUUUGGUCAUAACUGAGACAAGAAGGACCUGUUUAUUUUAUACAUUGUUCUGGUGCGUCUCUAGAACAUAAGUAAAGUGUGAGAGGUUGUUAUAAAUAUUCUAUAUGGUUUAGUGCCGAUUAUUGUAUGAACCUGAAAAUAAAAUACUUCGAUGUU